rnacentral:rRNA from 1 species
GUUUGUUUGUAGCUAUAAGUGAUUUGGCCUGCCCCCUGAUUAUAUGGAUUAAAGGGCCGCAGUAUUAUAACUGUGCAAAGGUAGCAUAAUCAUUAGGUUUUUAAUUGGAAUCUUGUAUGAAUGGUUGGACAAAAGAAAAACUCUCUUUAUAUUAAAUUUUAAAUUUAACUUUUAAGUGAAAAGGCUUAAAUAGACUAAAGGGACGAUAAGACCCUAUAAAACUUUACAUUGUAAUUUAUAUUUAAGUGAAUUUAGAAAUAAAAGUUUAAUUUAAUUAUUUGUUAUAUUGGGGAGAUAUAUGUAAAAUUUUAUUUUAACUGCUGUAUAAUUAAUACAAGUAUUAUUGAAUAAAUAAAAGAUCCUUUUUAAAGAUUAAUAGAUUAAGUUACUUUAGGGAUAACAGCGUAAUUUCUUUUGAGAGUUCUUAUCGAAAAAGGAGAUUGCGACCUCGAUGUUGAAUUAAAAUAUCUUUAUAAUGAAGAGGUUAUAUAAGAAGGUCUGUUCGACCUUUAAAAUUUUACAUGAUUUGAGUUCAAACCGGUGUGAG